UUUCUUUUGUAAUUAAAUCUUAAUUUUAGCCCUUAUCCCACCAAAUGUUCCGGCAAAUGAUUGUCAAUUAGAGAAUAUUAGAACUAAAAUAUAAGAAAUAAGUGUAUUAGUACCAACAUUCAAAAGAAACGUGUCAAAAUUUCAUGACAUUUGAACAACGCAUUCCAAGGUUACAAUCAUUGAAGUGAAGCUACUUUAGUUAUUUUGUAAACAAUGGAUAAAAACGAAUUUCGUAUGUUGAUUAAACACUGCUAUUUGAUGGGAAAAAAUACUGUGAAAACUCAAGAAUGGCUUGAAAAGUAUUAUAAGGACUCUGUUCCAAAGAAAACAACUAUUUAUCGCUGAUUUUUUUAAUUUAAACGCGGUCGUACAGACACAUUUGAAUGCUCAAGACGCCUAAGUGAAGCAGUUACGAUAGAAAACAUAAAAAAAAUCCAAAAAAUUAUGUUGGAAAAUCAUAAAGUAAAUAGCUGACAUUAUAAAAAUCUCAAUUGACCGUUUGCAUCAUAUUUAUUUUAAACAUUUAAGUAUAAGAAAGCUAUGCUCAAAAUGGGUACCGUAUUUGCUAACAGUGGACCGAAAAAAAAAACAAUGUGCCGAUGAUUCACAGAGCUGUUUUGAACUAUUUAAGAAGAA